rnacentral:miRNA from 1 species
AGAGGUAAAAAUUUGAUUUGA